CAUAGUAAUCCUUUAAACAAAAACAUCAAAAUCAUAAAGACAAAAUCAAAAAAGAAGGUUCAUGUUUGUGUAGAAGAAAAAAUACCAUGAUGAAUGCAAGCCCAAAAAACAGCGCGCUGAGAAUGGAUAUGGCUUCGUCAUUUUUAAUUGCUCCUUGUUUCGACAAACCCUGAAGAAAAUGAAAGAAAUAGCAAACUUAAAAUACAAUAGAAUAAAAUAAAAAAUAUCGAAAUCUUUUCCCGAGAAAAAAAAACAAAAAAGCAAAAUAGCAAACAGAAACAACGCAACAUAAACCUACACUAAUUUAAAAAAAUCAAACUAUAUGAGAACGAAAACAACAGACACCUUUCGUAAACAAAAAUAGCAAACAACAACAAAAACAUGAAAUAUUUUUUGCGAAAAUCCAGCAAGAAUUCAUCAAUGUACAAUAUAUCUGAUAAUACCCGAAAAUAUACGGCCAAUAAUUCAUCGAACCCUCUGGAAAAGAACAAAACUUAAAAAAAUGAAGAUUUACAAAUACAAACAAACGGAGUAAUUUAGAAAAACAAAAAAUAAAAUCGCCACACAUUUUUAUAUAUAGUAAGAAUUUUCAUACGUUAACACAAAUAUGAGAAGAGUAGUUAUGUAAGAGGUAACAAAUAUUGUGUUGUUUCGAUGUUGAUCUACCUUCAGGAGUUGCCAGGCCGUCCAUCCUCAAUAAACUUUUAUAUCAUGGUUUAUUUUUCAUUAUAGAUAAAAGGAAAAUAAACAGAAUACCUGAGAAUCCAAAACAGGAAAAAAAAAAUCUGAAAUUUGAUCUUGUG
rnacentral:lncRNA from 1 species